GGCCCCCACACCGGGCACAGAUUUUUCCAAUCUGGUCCCGGAGUUUGCCAGAAGGCUGGAGGACCACAGGGAUGUGUGGGAUGCAUCUGGCUUCUAUCCCAACUUCUGUGAAUUGAAUCACCCAUUUGAUAAUCAAAUAAGAAGAUUAUUGGACACCAAGAAACAGGUAUGGGUGGAGCUUCUAAGGAACACAGAACAAAGUCACUGCUUUCUGUGAGAAGGAUUCUUCAAUCUGCCCAGGCUAGUGGCCAGCUGGGGAGUCCAGAUGACACAGUCAAUACAAAUCAGACUCCUGAGACACAAAGCAGGAUGCAGAAGACUGGAGACUGGACCUGGAGGGACACACCAAGAACAUCGAGCAUGUAAUGAAAGUUUCUUGGGUUUCCCUUGUGGCUCAGUGGUAAAGAAUCCACCUGCCAGUGCUGGAGACACAGGCCCAGCCCUUGAUCUGGGAAGAUCCCACAUGCCCCAGGAUAACUCAGACCGGGCGCCACAACUACUGAGCCUGCGCACUAGAGCCCGAGAGCCACAACUACCAAAGCCACGUGACACCAGAGCCUGUGCUCUUCAAGGAGAGAAACCUCCACGGUGAGAAGCCUGUGCAGCACAAGGAAGAGUGGCCCCCGCUUGCUGCAACUACAGAAGUGUGUGCAGCAACAGAGACCCAGCACGGCCAAAAAUAAAUAAACUGAUUUUUUAAAAAAAGAAUGAAAGCUUCUCGAAAGUUGAGACCGUUGAGCUCAGGGCUGUGUCUCUGACAUCUAUUUUAGUACAUGGUGUAUAGUUGGUGCCAUCUAAUAUCAAAUAUGGUUAAAUGACUAAGUGGGUAAAUGAAUAAAUCAGUUGUUCUUAAGAAGUAUAUUGUCUAGCAUGUAGCAAAAAUAACUCAGAAAUCUUCCAUUUUAAGUAAUAUUUUAUUGAAUUCUUAUCUGAUACUUUGCUAAGAAUUUUACCAGUCUUGCUGCCAAUGAGAGAUGUUUUGGUUUAUAGACAAGAAGAGGGAUAUGCAUAUUUAUAUAAAAUAAAUAUAUGCAUGCAUAUAUUACAUGGGAAUGUGCCUGUGCCUAUAUAUAUAUAUAUAUGAAUGCUAUUUGUGUAGGAAUACAUGUAUAUGUGUGUAUGUGUUCAUUAGUGUGUUUGUGUAUAAAAUUUUUUUGGCCAGAAAGGAGAUAGCUUUCCGUUCAAUGUCUCAUUGGAAGAAUAUUCAUCUUCUGUCCUAGGAAGCAGUGCCAGAGACAGGACAUGGAAAGAGGUGUCAGCGGGAACCUUCCACAGUGCUGACA
ensembl:lncRNA